UGAGGAAUAUUGGUCAAUGGGCGCAAGCCUGAACCAGCCAUCCCGCGUGCAGGAUGACGGCCCUAUGGGUUGUAAACUGCUUUUGUACAGGAAGAAAAAUCCCGAUGUAUCGGGACUUGCCGGUACUGUGCGAAUAAGCAUCGGCUAACUCCGUGCCAGCAGCCGCGGUAAUACGGAGGAUGCAAGCGUUAUCCGGAUUCAUUGGGUUUAAAGGGUGCGUAGGCGGCUAUUUAAGUCAGUGGUGAAAUCUUGCCGCUUAACGGUAAAAUUGCCAUUGAUACUGAAUAGCUUGAGUACAGUUGAGGUAGGCGGAAUGUGUAGUGUAGCGGUGAAAUGCUUAGAUAUUACACAGAACACCAAUUGCGAAGGCAGCUUACUAAACUGUCACUGACGCUGAUGC
rnacentral:rRNA from 1 species